UAAGUUAAGUGCUGAAAGCAUCUAAGCACGAAACUUGCCCCGAGAUGAGUUCUCCCUGAGACUUAGAGUCUCCUGAAGGAACGUUGAAGACGACGACGUUGAUAGGCCGGGUGUGUAAGCGCAGCGAUGCGUUGAGCUAACCGGUACUAAUGAACCGUGAGGCUUAACCUU
rnacentral:rRNA from 1 species